rnacentral:rRNA from 1 species
UCUGGCGACCGGCGCACGGAUGAGUAACACGUAUCCAACCUGCCCUUUACUCGGGGAUAGCCUUUCGAAAGAAAGAUUAAUACCCGAUAGCAUAAUGAUUCCGCAUGGUUUCAUUAUUAAAGGAUUCCGGUAAAGGAUGGGGAUGCGUUCCAUUAGGUUGUUGGUGAGGUAACGGCUCACCAAGCCUUCGAUGGAUAGGGGUUCUGAGAGGAAGGUCCCCCACAUUGGAACUGAGACACGGUCCAA